UCGGAAGUCAGUGGCAGACGGGUGAGUAACACGUGGGAACGUGCCCUUCGGUUCGGAAUAACUCAGGGAAACUUGAGCUAAUACCGGAUACGCCCUUAUGGGGAAAGGUUUACUGCCGAAGGAUCGGCCCGCGUCUGAUUAGCUUGUUGGUGGGGUAACGGCCUACCAAGGCGACGAUCAGUAGCUGGUCUGAGAGGAUGAUCAGCCACACUGGGACUGAGACACGGCCCAGACUCCUACGGGAGGCAGCAGUGGGGAAUAUUGGACAAUUGGCGCAAGCCUGAUCCAGCCAUGCCGCGUGAGUGAUGAAGGCCUUAGGGUUGUAAAGCUCUUUUGUCCGGGACGAUAAUGACGGUACCGGAAGAAUAAGCCCCGGCUAACUUCGUGCCAGCAGCCGCGGUAAUAAAGAAGGGGGCUAGCGUGCUCGGAAUCACUGGGCGUAAAGGGCGCGUAGGCGGCCGAUUAAGUCGGG
rnacentral:rRNA from 1 species